rnacentral:rRNA from 1 species
AUGGACGCGGCUAAGCAGCUCCUGGAAUGCUUUGGAGAGGCCACGGGGCUGCGGUGCAACUUCUUGAAGAGCUCCAUCUCCACGAUCCGUUGUCAGGAGGAGGACAUUCGGCAGCUCCUCGCUCUGGCCGGCUGCAAACUCCAGGCGCUACCUAUCACAUACCUCGGCCUUCCUCUUUCGCUAUGGGCCCUGACCCGUUCGGAGCUUCAACCCCUCAUCGAUCGGAUUGCGGCGCAGUUGCCAACAUGGAAUGCGGGCCUCCUCCGUCGGUCCAGCAGACUCACCCUCGUCAACUGCAGGCUCUCGGCG